CUCUUUUUUCUUUUUAUUGUGAAAAGCUUCAAGCACACAUAGGAACGGAGCGUGUGGUACAAUAAGCCUGGCUUCAGCAGUCAAGUCUCAGCCAACCUUAUUCCAUCCACGCCCUCUUCCCCUUCCCUCAUCCCAGAUUACUCUGAAGCAAAUUUCAGACGUCAGUCAUUUCUUUUACAAACAUUUCAAUGUAUAACUCCAAAAAAUUUUUUUUGGCCACCUUCACUCCUCCUAAAACUAUUUAAUAACAGUAAUGCUUUUACUAUCAGCAAAUACCCAGUUAGUAUUCAGAUUUCUCUGGUUAUCUCAUAAAGCGUUUCUUUUUUUUUUUUUUGAGACGGAGUCUUGCUCUGUUGCCCAGGCUAGAGUGCGGUGGCAUGAUAUCAGCUCGCUGCAACCUCUGACUCCUGGCUAGUUAAAAUCAGGAUCCAAAUAAAGUUCGAAUGUUGCCAUCGGUUGGGAUUGCUUUUGUAUCUCUCCUAACCUGUAGGUUCUCUUCCCUUGUCUUUUUCUUCCUUUGCAAUUUAUUUGUUGAAGAAACUGGCUUGUUUGUUCUGUAGUUUCCUGUGGUCUGAAUUUUGGUUAUAGCAUCUCCAUAGAAGUGUCAUGUGCUCCUCUUCCCGCUAUAUUUCUUAGAAAUUGGUAGUUAGGCCUAGGAGAUAACUUAGAUUGAUGUUUGAUUUUUUUUUUUUUGUAUGAGUACUUCCUAUUGGUGGUUUUGUACUUCCAUUCAAAGGCACACACUAUCUGGUUGUUCCUCUUUGCAAUGUUAGCAGCUGUUGUUGAUGAUCAUUGUCUAGAUCCACAAUUUCUUCUUCUUUUUUUUUUUUUUUUUUGAGGGGUCUUGCUCUGUCACAUAGGUUAGAGUGCAGUGGUGCAAUCAUAGCUGACUGCAGCCUUGACCUCCUGGGCUCAAGGGAUCCUCCCACCUGAGCCUUCCAAACAGCUGGGACUACAGGCACAUGCCCAAACCUGGCUAAUUUUUUUUUUUUCUUUUUUUUUUGUAGAGACAGGAUCUUGUUGCAUAGACAGGUCUGUGUUGCCCAGGGUGGUCUUGAACUUCUGGCCUCAAACAAUCUUCCCAUCUCGGCCUCCGAAAGUGUUGGGAUUACAGGGAUGAGCCACUACACCUGGCCCAUUAUUUCAUUAGAUAUUACAACAUGGUGGCAUACUAAUUCUAUGAUUCUGUCUUUGGUAGUGGACAUAUGUCUAUAAAAGGUAUCAAUUUAUCAACUAUUUGGCUACCAAAAAGUAUGGUUUGUACCAAAAAGGAUAAAUGCUUCUUUCCCUUUCUUUGACAGUUUUCAAAAUGAGUUGGGUUUUCCAAUAUCCUCCCAUGGUGAUAAAUGAAUUUUUCUUUUUUUUUUUUUUUUUAAGUAUUGUCAACUCAUAGAUUUGGACAUAUAUGACAUGUUUCAAUCCAUUAAAGUCAUUCUUUUUUUUUUUUUUUUUUGAGAUGGGCGUCUUGCUCUGUCACCUAGGCUGGAGUGUAGUGGCACAAUCUUGGCUCACUGCAACUUCCGCCUCCUGGGUUCAAGCGAUUCUUCUGCCUCAGCCUCCCAAGUAGCUGGGAUUACAUGUGUAUGCCACCACACCCGGCUAAUUUUUUAUAUUUUUGGUAGAGAUGGG
rnacentral:lncRNA from 1 species